CGCGAUUCGCCCUUCGGGGUGCACCAGGCGCGAAAACUUUACAAUGCUGGCAACAGCGAUAAGGGGACCUCGAGUGCCAGGAUACAAUCUUGGCUGUCGCGAUGCCUAAAAAGCAUUGCAUAGCAAGGGCCGGGCAAGACCGGUGCCAGCCGCCGCGGUAACACCGGCGGCUCGAGUGGUAACCGCUAUUAUUGGGUCUAAAGGGUCUGUAGCCGGCCGGAUAAGUCUUUUGGGAAAUCCAGCUGCUCAACAGUUGGGCUUUCAGAAGAUACUGUUCGGCUCGAGACCGGGAGAGGUGAGAGGUACUUCAGGGGUAGGGGUGAAAUCUUGUAAUCCUUGAAGGACCACCAGUGGCGAAGGCGUCUCACCAGAACGGAUCUGACGGCAAGGGACGAAAGCUAGGGGCACGAACCGGAUUAGAUACCCGGGUAGUCCUAGCCGUAAACGAUACUCGCUAGGUGUCAGCCACGGUGCGACCGUGGUUGGUGCCGUAGGGAAGCCGUGAAGCGAGCCACCUGGGAAGUACGGCCGCAAGGCUGAAACUUAAAGGAAUUGGCGGGGGAGCAC
rnacentral:rRNA from 1 species